rnacentral:rRNA from 1 species
UUUUUUGCAUUCGUUUUUAUAUUCUGAGUGGAAUUUUUAAAUAAAAAUUAAAACUUUCAACAACGGAUCUCUUGGCUCUGGCAUCGAUGAAGAACGCAGCGAAAUGCGAUAAGUAAUGUGAAUUGCAGAAUUCAGUGAAUCAUCGAAUCUUUGAACGCACAUUGCGCCCGCCAGUAUUCUGGCGGGCAUGCCUGUUCGAGCGUCAUUUCAACCCUCAAGCCCCCCGGGCUUGGUGUUGGGGAUCGGCACAAGGCCCCUCGCGGCCCGCCGUCCCCCAAAUGCAGUGGCGGUCACGUCGCAGCCUUCUAUGCGUAGUAGCAACACCUCGCACUGGAGCGCGACGCGGCCACGCCGUAAAACCCCCGACUUUUUUCUGGUUGACCUCGAAUCAGGUAGGACUACCCGCUGAACUUAAGCAUAUCAA